rnacentral:rRNA from 1 species
CCCAGAGUAACUGCUUGUACCUUGACGGUACCUAACCAGAAAGCCACGGCUAACUACGUGCCAGCAGCCGCGGUAAUACGUAGGUGGCAAGCGUUAUCCGGAAUUAUUGGGCGUAAAGCGCGCGCAGGCGGUUUCUUAAGUCUGAUGUGAAAGCCCACGGCUCAACCGUGGAGGGUCAUUGGAAACUGGGGAACUUGAGUGCAGAAGAGAAAAGCGGAAUUCCACGUGUAGCGGUGAAAUGCGUAGAGAUGUGGAGGAACACCAGUGGCGAAGGCGGCUUUUUGGUCUGUAACUGACGCUGAGGCGCGAAAGCGUGGGGAGCAAACAGGAUUAGAUACCCUGGUAGUCCACGCCGUAAACGAUGAGUGCUAAGUGUUAGAGGGUUUCCGCCCUUUAGU